GGACAAGGACACGGGGAGGGACUGGCAGGUCCGGAGGCCGGACCCUAGCCCAGCCUCCUACUACCGGCCCGGCCAGCGAAGCACCGGGGCGGGUCUGGGCUGCCCCCUGGCGGGAGCCGGCGAUAAGUCUAUGACGAGGACCCUGUAUGAAAGGUGGAUACGAGGACUCCAGAGAGGGGACAUAGAACACAGAAGCAGGGACAGAGACAUGAAGAGAGCGACACAUCGACAAAGACACAUUGAGACGCGAAGAGAAAAAGAGGCAGAGACAGAGACACACACUGAAUCAAAGGGAUGGAAAGAAACAUGGGGAACAAGUGACACACAAACAUUGAUAGACAAAGACAGACCAGAAGCAGAACGACACCGAGACCGAAAGACCGAGCGACAGAGAAACACGGUGACGGAGACCGACGCGCAAAAAUACUGAGACACACACAAAGACAUUAAGAGAGAAAUCUAGGAGAAAGAAACGUGGUGACACCCAGAAUCCGAGGCAGAGGAAGACACGAGCGUAUUCUGAGAGGUGCCCACGAUGCGACACAGACGCGGAGCCAGGGGCUAGGUCUCGGGAAAUCGCU
rnacentral:lncRNA from 1 species